rnacentral:rRNA from 1 species
GCAAUGGGCGCAAGCCUGACGACGCAACGCCGCGUGGAGGAUGAAGAUUUUCGGAUCGUAAACUCCUGUCGAAUGGGACGAAAAGAUUGCGGGUUAACAGCCCGUAGUUCUGACGGUACCGUUAAAGGAAACCCCGGCUAACUCCGUGCCAGCAGCCGCGGUAAUACGGGGGGGGUAAGCGUUGUUCGGAAUUACUGGGCGUAAAGAGCUCGUAGGCGGCCAACUAAGUCGGACGUGAAAUCCCUCAGCUUAACUGGGGAACUGCGUCCGAUACUGGAUGGCUUGGAUUUGGGAGAGGGAUGCGGAAUUCCAGGUGUAGCGGUGAAGUGCGUAGAUAUCUGGAGGAACACCGGUGGCGAAGGCGGCAUCCUGGACCAAUAUUGACGCUGAGGAGCGAAAGCCAGGGGAGCAAACGGGAUUAGAUACCCCGGUAGUCCUGGCCCUAAACGAUGAAUGCUUGGUGUGGCGGGUAUCGAUCCCUGCCGUGCCGAAGCUAACGCAUUAAGCAUUCCGCCUGGGGAGUACGGUCGCAAGGCUGAAACUCAAAGGAAUUGACGGGGGCCCGCACAAGCGGUGGAGCAUGUGGUUCAAUUCGACGCAACGCGAAGAACCUUACCCAGGCUUGAACUGCGAGUGACCAACUCCGAAAGGGGUCUUCCGCAAGGACACUCGUAGAGGUGCUGCAUGGCUGUC